rnacentral:rRNA from 1 species
UACAGAGGGUGCAAGCGUUAAUCGGAUUUACUGGGCGUAAAGCGUGUGUAGGUGGUUGCAUAAGUCGGAUGUGAAAGCCCCGGGCUCAACCUGGGAAUUGCAUUCGAUACUGUGCGACUAGAGUACGGUAGAGGGAGGCGGAACUCCGGGUGUAGCGGUGAAAUGCGUAGAUAUCCGGAAGAACACCGAUGGCGAAGGCAACCUCCUGGGCCUGUACUGACACUGAGACACGAAAGCGUGGGGAGCAAACAGG